rnacentral:tRNA from 1 species
GGGUGACCUGGGGCAGGCCCUGACCCGGUUCGCCACCCAGGCGGGUAUCGUGCUGUCGUUCGACCCGACGUCCACCCA